UACGUAGGGUGCAAGCGUUAAUCGGAAUUACUGGGCGUAAAGCGUGCGCAGGCGGUUAUGCAAGACAGAUGUGAAAUCCCCGGGCUUAACCUGGGAAUGGCAUUUGGGACUGCAAGGCUUGAGUGCGGCAGAGGAGACUAGAAUUCCUGGUGUAGCAGUGAAAUGCGUAGAUAUCAGGAGGAAUACCGAUGGCGAAGGCAGGUCUCUGGGCUGACACUGACGCUCAUGCACGAAAGCGUGGGGAGCAAACAGG
rnacentral:rRNA from 1 species